rnacentral:rRNA from 1 species
GAUGAACGCUGGCGGCGUGCCUAAUACAUGCAAGUCGAGCGAACGGACGAGAAGCUUGCUUUUCUGAUGUUAGCGGCGGACGGGUGAGUAACACGUGGAUAACCUACCUAUAAGACUGGGAUAACUUCGGGAAACCGGAGCUAAUACCGGAUAAUAUUUUGAACCGCAUGGUUCAUAAGUGAAAGACGGUCUUGCUGUCACUUAUAGAUGGAUCCGCGCUGCAUUAGCUAGUUGGUAAGGUAACGGCUUACCAAGGCAACGAUGUAUAGCCGACCUGAGAGGGUGAUCGGCCACACUGGAACUGAGACACGGUCCAGACUCCUACGGGAGGCAGCAGUAGGGAAUCUUCCGCAAUGGGCGAAAGCCUGACGGAGCAACGCCGCGUGAGUGAUGAAGGUCUUCGGAUCGUAAAACUCUGUUAUUAGGGAAGAACAUAUGUGUAAGUAACUGUGCACAUCUUGACGGUACCUAAUCAGAAAGCCACGGCUAACUACGUG